GUAGAACUUGAGUAUGUUCUGUGGGAUGACUAGAGGUCAGCUGUUGGAGGGGUUGGGGACACAUAUGGGGAAGGAGAAGGAACAAGGUGCUGUGGACUUGGGAGCCAGAAAAGGACCUGGCUUGGUGCCAGCUAUGCAUCUUUCUACCCAUUGCCUCCAAGCUGAGGUACAUGCUCUUGGCACCCCUCAUCCCUUCACAACCCUUCAGAGGAUUGCCUCCAGCUACUUACCCACGUCUUCUCCAAAUCUGCCAGGUGUACAGCAGUGCAACCUUUGACUUGCCCUCAACUGUAUAUUCCCAAGGCUUUGAGGGGGUCCCUUUUAUCUCUUGCUCCAUUAUUUAGGGAUGAGAGCAGCCUUGGAGGCAACAUUUCCUGCAGAGUUUAGAAUCUAAGGACUUCUUUGAUCAACUUUUCUUACCCAAUCACGCUUAUUCCAACCCACAGUUCUAUGAUCCUUGCUAAUUGGCAGGGAAAGAAAUGGGAAGAGGAGGGAGAAGAAACAAAAAAGGAGAAGACUGGAUUGCUGAUUUCCUUAGGAGGGGUACCCAUGGUCUCCCAUCUAGUCUAUAAGCUCCUUCGCUUCCCUGCAGCCUCUCCACUUCUGCCUUUCUCUUCCCCUAGUAGAGGGGCUGCACUGAGGAGGGGGCUUAGUAAAUACCUGAGGAUAACUGAAGGGGAUCAGACUGCUGCUGCAAAGAGCUUGAUGCUCUCCUCCCUGGCCCAGGAAGGAAAGGAGGUAAAUCAUCAUCAUCAUCAUCAUCAUCAUCCAGUAGUUUAAUCUUGCAUUGCAGUGUCAGAGAGGUCCCCUUUGGGGAGUAUAGGGAAGGUGACGUAGGAAGGAGGAAGAGGAGAGGCUCCUGGUUACCUGCCCUCUCUUCUCUUUCAUGGCUCCACCUGGGCCUGUCCUUAGGGAGUUUGGAAAUGCCUAAAAAUUUAUCUUGGGAUUUAACUGCACUGUGGGAAAUGGUUGGAAACUUGCAGGUUUUGGAGGCUGUAUGGAAGCCGCAAUGGAAGGGUAGAAAAGCUGCAGUGUCCCUGGAGGGGGAAGAGAAUUGCGAAGUUCUGCAGGUUGAAGGCAAAUAAAACAGAAACAUGACCUACAGAAAUGAAUGAAGAGCAUCAGAAAUUAUUAAAUACAGCGGUAACUUUAAAAAACAUACUCUAUUCAAUUCUUAAUGUCUUUAAGACAUAAUUAUCUAAAGCAAUAACAACAACAACAAUAAUAGUGGGGCUUAUGACAUACACAGUACUUAGGUAUACGAUAACAGUAGAACAAAAGAUGGGGGUUAUAAAAGGGAAUGACACUGGUUUAAAUUCUUUCAUGUGAUUUCAAUGUAGACUAUGAAAAGUUUAAGAUACCUAUUAUAACCCCUAAAAUAAACACAAAAGUUAAACAAAGAGAUUUAGCUAAAAUGCAAAUGGAGGAGGCAAAAUGGAAUACUAAUACUUGAUUGAUCCAAAAUAUGGCAAGAAAAAGGAAAGAAAGAACCAACGGGACACAUAGAAAAUACAUGAUGGCAUGUAUUCAUUGUAUAUUAUCCCCAAAGGGAAGAAAUUAGAUGAUCUCUAAGGUCUUUUCUAGCUUUCAGUGUCUCCAAUUUUAGUCCAUACCUCCCCCAUCAGUUUCCACUCAGGGAAACUGAUGCAGAUCUAGUUAAGGUUCAGUGUGGCAGGACUGGGAUGACAGUCUGACCUGCUGGAUCUUAUAUCUAGAAUUGGUCCAUCGAGUAGAGGGGACUGUGCUUAUGGAUUUGGGUUUGUCAUUGAGAUUAGAGUGCCAAGUUAAGGUGGUUAUUAGGGACAGGAUUAAAGUUAGAAGAAGGUGUUGUUUACACAGUCAGGCCUAGGGUUAAGGCCACAUUUAGAGUCAAAGUCCGCUCUGGAGUUACUGCUGGCUUUGGCUUGUUGGUCAGAUUGGAGGUGGGGAGUGAGCCUAGGGCUCAGGAGUCUUAGAUCAGUGGGGACGGGGUGACCCAGCAGAGCUUGUGCAAUCUCUCAUAGCAGCUAUUCACUCAUAUUGGGCAUAUUGUUUCCCAUCAUUAAUAACUUCUUUUCCUUCACUCUCUCCCAGGACUUUUCUCUCUUUCUUUUAUCAAUACAGUGCAAUAUCCAUUCAUUCAAAAAGCUCUUCAUUAAUUACCCUCUAAGUGCCAGGUACUAAUCUAGGUACUGGGGAUGCAGCAUCAACAAAACAAAGUCCCUGACGCCAUGGAAUUGAUGAUCUGCUGAUGGGAGGCAGGAAACAAACACGUAAACAGAUAAAUGAGAUGAUUCCAGAGAGCAAAAAGCAGGCAGUGGGACAGAGUGAUUUGGAGGACAAGGAAGCCCUGGAUUGAGAAGGAGCCAGGCUGUGGAGAGUCAGUGGGGGAGAAGCAUGAUGGCAGCCUGGUGUGAGAGAUGGGGAGGAAAGCAGCUUAAAGAAGGUGAGCCACCUGGACUGUGCUCUCUCUAUUGGGAAGCCACAGAGAGUGUGAGCCAGGAGUGACAUGGUCUCAUUUGAGGUUUAAAAGAUGACUCUGGCUGAUGUGUACAAAAUAGCCUAUGAGAGAAGAGAAAACCAAACAAAAAAGAAAAAUGGACUAAGAGAGAGGAGCCCUGGAUCCCUCAAUAUGCUGUGUGAUCUUGGAUACGCCACUUAGUCUCUAACUAAAUGCUGAUAGUAACAUCUGUGUUGUUGAUGUCAGAGAAACGAGGUAGGAAUCAGUGAUAGACUGUUUAAAAAGUUACUUUUAAAGAACAAAGGGCUAUACAAAAGCUAAGUCUGUGGUGAUUUCCCUCCUCCUUUGUAUAUGGACACCUGCUUAAAUGCAAUUGAUUAUGUGGGGUGUGUAUAAUAAUAAUUUGAGUUAAUUUCCUCCAUGAACAUUGGGGCUUCUGAGACGUCGCUUGCACAGCGGCUGGUUAGCUAAUUUGGUUAAUGAGGCCAGACUCAGCUGUGUAACCCUAGAGCUAGCCAGAUUCUUCCCCUCCAUUCCCAGGCCAGGAAUGCUCAGAGGCCCUGAUCGACAGCUUUUAAGUGGAUGUUGCUGGUCACCAGCAGCCCCACUGACAGAGUGAAGAUUAUUUCCCGUGGCUUCACUGCUGAGGCAGCCCCUGGUGCAAGGAAUUCUCACUCCUCAACCUCUGGAAGUCAGAUGAGCUUCAAGCCUGGUGGCCCCACAUCUCUAAGGCAA
rnacentral:lncRNA from 1 species